ensembl:lncRNA
GACCGCUUCUCAAAGAAGGACUUAGUUUGCUCACAUGACGCAGAGGACAGGAAGGUACAGGUGUUACAUGUAAGCAGAUCAUAUUUCCAUCGGGCACUGGAGGGGACGGCAGCACUACACUCAGGGGAAGAGAGAGAAAAAAAACGACCUUUGUGUGUGUGCUUCAAAGGCUUGUAACCAUGGAAACCCCCAAAAACAGCCCCAGCCCUCGAAUCCCGGUGACCCGUGAUGAUAGCGGCCUGUGGAUGAGGAUGGACUCCGACCCUCUGAUGGACCACACAGGGGGCCGCGGGCGGAAGCCCCGAGAGGCGACCACGGACCCCCCGCGUGGCCCGGCAGUGAUCACCAGGUAUUACAGUGUGAUGGACGACGACGACAACAACUUUGUCCCACCUCCUCCGCCUGACGCGGCUCCUUCUCUGCACGCAGAUGCUCAGGUGAAUAAUUCCAACGUGACCUUUACAAAGGGGUCAGCUGAAGAUAAUCCCAGUGGCUUAGGUUGGCAUCCUGGGGAGAGCCGGCUAAUGGCAACGCAGAGCGCAGCGGAGCAAGUGAACACCGAGCAGACGUCUACGGACGGCGCAUCCCCGCCUGAAGUCUCCAUUCUACCUGAAGAACAAGACCUGACAUCAAUGGAGGGAGCAUGUUGUGAUCCAACCCAAAGACGCCAUCAUGGCAGAACAGCGGGCGGCGAGCAAUCGGAGCCUGAGGAUAUUUUGAGUGAGGGGCAGAAACGGUGCAGAGAGGCUCAAAGCAACAAGAACCCAAAACAGGUACCUUCAAACAUUGGGGAGAACUCUGAAAACACACAGAAUUUUGACAAAGAGGGAGAAUCAAUGUGUGGCUUUGCUAAGACGUACUCAGCCGUGCAACAUGCUGACUUUGGUGAAGAUUUUGAGUCCAAUGAGCCUCCGGAGCCCUCCAAAAGACCCCAAAACCCGACGGACGCAGCGACCUGUCGGCCGUACGUACCAGAGGUCCCAGUGGAGGAGUCCAAUGGACACUCCAUCUCCGACGGCUCCGAAGAGACAGGGCAGGGAGAUGGGAGCAGGAGAAUAUCUAAUGGUAUCCAGCAAGGAGAGCAGCUGCUUCAACGUCUGCAGCUGGUCCAGCUGCGUCAGGACGUGUCUCUACCCGGGAGCCCUGACGCCUCCCAGCAGGCUGUCCGAGAGACACGAGGCGAGACAAGGAGCGCACCUGGGAGUGACGUAGGCGAUUCGAAAGCAAGGGGAGCCCACUUGACGGGUGAGAAUGAGGAAGAAGAGAGCGGGGGAGAGAGAUGGAAGCCGAUGGCGGUGGAAGGGAGUGGGAGGUAUGCCGUGGAACUGGAGGCUGGGAUGUCUUUGUUAAUGCCGACGGUGCAGUCAGGGCAGCACAACACCACCAUGGCAGAGGCAGGAGACUAUGAGGAAGAUCAAAGGGACCCCGGUGAAACCUCCUCCACCCAGAAUCCCUUUCUCUCCACCUGCCACCGACUCUCGGCCUCCGAGGCCUGGGUUGAGGGGCGGAGCCCCAGCGAGGCCCUGGGGAGCCUGCAGAGAGCAAGCGGCAUCUUCGACGUCGCCGAUGAUCCAGACGUGCUGGAGAUCCCCUUCAAGAACCAUAUUACGCUCGACCCCUUCCCCACCGAGGAUGGCGGCGACUGGCAGUUCUCCUCGCAGAAGAUGAAAAAGGAGAUAAGCCAGGAGACGCGGAGGGAGCUGGUGCUGGUCAACCAGGGCAAGAUCCCGGGGGGGUACAGCAAAGGAGAGGUCCGCCAGCGGAAGGAGACAAAGCUCCUGUUCGAGGCCUUCCAGCAGAUCAACACGGAUGGUCCGGCAAGGCCCCCAAGACCCAUCGUGAAAGGUCACGUUUACCCCUCUGUGCUGGAGCGCACCCGCAGCAUGGAGAUGCUGUCGCUCAAAAGUCGGCCCGUCUGCAGAACACAAUCCUUCCGGCUGAUUAAGGAGAGCGAGAAACACGCAGAAAUCCUCAGGCCAUCGAGCCUAAAGAGCGGUUCUCUGGACAAAGCGCGCCCCUCUCACUCCGCAAGACACAAGGAGCGCGCGCAGCCGAGCGGUAGCGCGGACUCCGGCGGGGAUGCCGGGAGCAGAGACACGGAGGCCAACGGCCCGAAAGAAUGUCCCGCCGUCAGGGGAAACCCCUUCUUCAAGCUGCGCCCGGCCCUUGCUCUGAAGCCAGAGGUAGAGAAGGACAUCCGGGAGGCCAAGGAGAGAGAGGAAGAGCUGCGCAGACAGAGAUGCACCCUGUACGGGGAGAACGGGCCGAGGGGUGAAGACGGAGAGGGGUCAAGGUUCAAACCGACGCUCGCCACAGACGUCAGGAAACAAUUGAGGGGAAAACUGGAACGCGUAUGGCCGCCGCCCUCCAAGAAGGACCAGAAGAAUUCGGAGCAGACGCAGCAGGAGGCAAAGGUUCACCGGGUGGGAGGUCAGAGGGCGUCUCUGUGGCAGCGCUGGGAGUCCGGCCUGAUCAACGGGAAGACGCCAAAGGAAAAAAAAUGAGGUCGGCCAUGUUGAAUAUAUCCACCAUCUGCAAUGCUAGAGCUGCUCCAGUCCAAGAUGGAUCAAUGGAACCGAGGUCCAGAAGUUAGUUCCGGCUUGUACGCUUUUUCUCUCUUCCACUGUGGCUCUGUCUCAGUGUCGACCAGCAGUUUUGAUAUUUUUAAAAGUCUAGGUGUAUUCAGCGGGUAAAUAAAGCAAAAGCGUAACACGUUAAGGGGAAGACGCCAGUCAGUUUACUGCUAUCUUACCGGUUAUGGAUUUUUCUAAUUUCUAUAAACUGUCAAGUUGGAAUGUAAUGUCGUAAUGAAGCUGUCAUUUUUCUCUUUUCAUAAGUUCCCGCAGCAAAUCUCCAUUAGAUCGUUUGCAUUGAGAUUUGAAUAAAUUAGAGAAAAAAACUCUGGCUUGUAAACAAAUGGCUUGUUUAUUUCCAUAUAUAAACACACUUUUUUUUGUGAUUUUUGAACCAAGCAACAAUGAUUAUCAGUAGAAAAUGAACUAUAUUUUCCUAAUUCUGGGCUGAGAUUUUAAAGGGGCAGUGUGCUGAUUUUACAUAUCACAUUAUACUGUACAGAUGUCAUCAUGGUCUUUUGGGAUAGGGUUUGGACUGACAAAUCUAUAACAGGAAGCCUGUGUUUGAACUGGAGGUGUGGAGUUUAAAAGAUAUGGGUGUUUAUUCGGCUUGCAAAAGACACUGUCCGGGUUGCAUUAUGGAAAGUGUUGUUUCCCUUGUUUCGGGAACAUUCGGACAUUCGAGCACCGAGUCCAAUAUCAAAAAGGUCUCGUUGUGCACAAAUGAAUAGGGUAGUUCACGGAUGAAGUUCAGGAAAACUUUCCCCUGUUGACCAGCGGUCAUGUUUACUAGAGAGAGCUUGGUUUGUAAUCCUGCACAAAGAGACCCGUACAGCUUAGCCCGUCUAAGUACCAUCUGUCAGGACAAGAGGCUCUGCCGAUGGAGGAGGCCUCUGCCUGGCACAGACUCACCAGUGAUGAUGGGCCACAGCUCCCACCGACCCACCGAGCAGCAACGGCCCCGAAGUUUCAGCCACUUUCUUUUUUCUACUGUACCAGCCCCGGGUAGACAAAAAAGGGUUAAUACAAAGAUGAAUGGAGUUCACACAUCUGUUAUAGCUAAAAUACACAUAUCUUCAUAACAACUGUCGCCUUCAACUGCCAACCCCAGCCCCAACCCCACAUGAAUCAUUCCGCUCAGUUUUCUCCAUAUUUCUUUCUUUUUGCUUUUGUUCUGUCUGUCCUUGCCCUAUGUAAAGUGUCUUAGGGUAUCUAGAGAAGCACUAUAUAAAGUAGUAGUAUUAUUAACAAGAAAGAAAUUACACAAGUUUUUAAAACACAAUGCAUUUUUUAAGAUUACACCCAGACGCUUUUUGGGCUUGUGAACUCUUAUGAAAAGGUAACAUAGGAGAUAUAGUUCUCCAGUAUAUUUUGAUAAUGUUUUGUAUACCUUUAAAUACAGGUCAGUUGCUUGGAACGGAGUACUUUUACACUUUUAGGAUAUGAGUACCUCUGAUGCCACGGGUGGAGUAAAAGGCGUUGUGCAAUGGGUGGAGGAGGUGUAGACUGAUUGUUUGGGUCGUUGUUAAUACUAAUUUUACAUGAUCUCAUCAAAGAGGCCCUGUGGGAUUUUUCCAUUUUUUUAUGGCAUUUAAUAUUUAAAAUGAACACUCUUUCAUUAUUUGCAUUCCGAUUCCGUGAAUUCAGAUUUACAUUUGGAUACUAAACUAAAUUCAAACUAUUCAUACACCUUGUGUGGGUGAAAAGGUUAUUAUACCACCAGAGGGCAGCAUAGGCUCAACAACCAGGAGACAAUCAACGUACUCGUCAAUUGCAAGUUCAAUCAGAGUGCGUAGGUGUGGACGCGGGAGGACAUUGGUAUUUUCAUGGCGAUGUGAAGAAAUAAAACAUUAAGACGAG